AGCGAACGCUGGCGGCAGGCCUAACACAUGCAAGUCGAACGAACCCUUCGGGGUUGGUGGCGGACGGGUGAGUAACACGUGGGAACGUGCCUUUAGGUUCGGAAUAACUCAGGGAAACUUGUGCUAAUACCGAAUGUGCCCUUCGGGGGAAAGAUUUAUCGCCUUUAGAGCGGCCCGCGUCUGAUUAGCUAGUUGGUGAGGUAAUGGCUCACCAAGGCUACGAUCAGUAGCUGGUCUGAGAGGAUGACCAGCCACAUUGGGACUGAGACACGGCCCAAACUCCUACGGGAGGCAGCAGUGGGGAAUCUUGCGCAAUGGGCGAAAGCCUGACGCAGCCAUGCCGCGUGGAUGAUGAAGGUCUUAGGAUUGUAAAAUCCUUUCACCGGUGAAGAUAAUGACUGUAGCCGGAGAAGAAGCCCCGGCCAACUUCGUGCCAGCCGCCGCGGUAAUAC
rnacentral:rRNA from 1 species